GGGCCCGCACAAGCGGUGGAGCAUGUGGUUUAAUUCGAUGCAACGCGAAGAACCUUACCAAGGCUUGACAUACUACAGAUUUCUUUGAAAAAAGGAAAGUGCCUUCGGGAAUGUAGAUACAGGUGGUGCAUGCUGUCGUCAGCUCGUGUCGUGAGAUGUUGGGUUAAGUCCCGCAACGAGCGCAACCCUUAUUUUUAGUUGCUAAUUUAGUUUAGGUUUUCUAGAAAGACUGCCGGUGACAAACCGGAGGAAGGUGAGGAUGACGUCAAGUCAGCAUGCCCCUUAUGCCUUGGCUACACACGUGCUACAAUGGUUAAGACAAAGAGUUGCGAGCUCGUGAGAGUCAGCUAA
rnacentral:rRNA from 1 species